UACGGAGGAUGCGAGCGUUAUCCGGAAUCAUUGGGUUUAAAGGGUCCGUAGGCGGGCUAAUAAGUCAGAGGUGAAAGCGCUCAGCUCAACUGAGCAACUGCCUUUGAAACUGUUAGUCUUGAAUGGUUGUGAAGUAGUUGGAAUGUGUAGUGUAGCGGUGAAAUGCUUAGAUAUUACACAGAACACCGAUAGCGAAGGCAUAUUACUAACAAUUAAUUGACGCUGAUGGACGAAAGCGUGGGGGAGCGAACAGGAUUAGAUACCCUGGUAGUCCACGCUGUAAACGAUGGAUACUAGCUGUUUGGUUGUAAGACUGAGUGGCUAAGCGAAAGUGAUAAGUAUCCCACCUGGGGAGUACGCACGCAAGUGUGAAACUCAAAG
rnacentral:rRNA from 1 species